GAUGAACGCUGGCGGCGUGCCUAACACAUGCAAGUCGAGCGGCAGCGCGGGGUGCUUGCACCCUGUCGGCGAGCGGCGGACGGCUGAGUAACGCGUGGGAACGUGCCCCAAAGUGAGGAAUAACUGCCCGAAAGGGUAGCUAAUACCGCAUAUUAUCUUCGGAUCAAAGGAUUUAUCCGCUUUGGGAGCGGAUCGCGUCGGAUUAGGUAGUUGGUGAGGUAAUGGCUCACCAAGCCGACGAUCCGUAGCUGGUCUGAGAGGAUGACCCGCCAGACUGGAACUGAGACACGGUCCAGACUCCUACGGGAGGCAGCAGUGAGGAAUCUUCCACAAUGGGCGAAAGCCUGAUGGAGCAACGCCGCGUGCAGGACGAAGGCCUUCGGGUUGUAAACUGCUUUUAUAAGUGAGGAAUAUGACGGUAACUUAUGAAUAAGGAUCGGCUAACUACGUG
rnacentral:rRNA from 1 species